UGAGUCGUGCCUCUAAGCAGUUUCUGAAGCUGAUGACAUCAAAAGCAGUAAUAAGGAUACAAGAUGUCAAUCCAAUGUUAUUCAACUUUGUGGAGGAACUGAAUGAUGUCAAGGUAAUUUUAUUAAAUCAUGAGCACAUGUUAUGUAAUUUUAAAUUUUCAUAGAAUGUAGGUGUCUAGGUUCUGUGGUCUAAGAAGUAAUUGAAAUUUUCUACUUUAAGUUAAAAAUUUAAAUUUAGUUUAUUAUCUUUUUUUGUAUGAAAUUAUUUGGUGAAAAUAAGAAAUCUCACAUUUUGGCAACAAGUUUUAAAGCCUUAUACACUACAUCAUACCAUGUUUGCAAUGAUAUAUCUGCAUCACAAAAUAAACAGUAAAUUUUCUCUUAUGAAUGAUUAUGAUUUCUGAAUAAUGUCUUUUCACAUAUUUUAUCAUGCACUUGUACAUGCUUUAAACUAUUGUUGUAAUUGUGGUAAUAUAUAUAAACUGAUUUGUUUAGUUUUUAAUUACCAUGUAUGUAUAAUGUGCUAAAUGCUACUUGUACAUCCUUAUUCUACUGACUUAUAAAACUUUUAUUAGAAUUUUAAACCAAACACAUUUAAAAAAAAAAAUUAUAGAAAUUAGAGAAACCAGAGAAUACAUAUUUUCUGUUAAAUAAAGAUGUGAUGUUGUAGAAACUCCGGGAGGAGCUAUUAAUCAUGAAGAAGUACCUGUUAGUGUGUACGGAGGCCAUGAAAAAGAAGUUCCUUCUGCUGCUAAGUGAGCGACAACACUUUGUGGAGACUUCGGACAAAUACUCGAUGCAGGAUCUACUGGACAUUACAUCAGAUACACUCCUUCCAGAACUGGCCAACAUACACACAACAUGGGCCCAGCACAUCAAAACAGACUGUCAAAAAUGUCAGGCAAAGGGCUUUAUCUGUGAGUUGUGUGAUGACAAAGAAACAUUAUUCCCCUUUGAUAGCAUAGCAGUGGUCUGUUCUCAGUGUUCUUAUGUCCUCCACAGACAUUGUUUUGCCAAGAGGGGUGCCCAGUGUCCAAGAUGUGAAAGAAGAAGUAAGAGAAAUGUCAACUAAAAACUUAAAACAUGCUGAUGUGCAAUGUCAAACCUUGAAAUCAUUAAUUCAUGUGAUAUUUGUUAACAAUAAACUGUGAUUUCUG
rnacentral:misc_RNA from 1 species